UACAGAGGGGGCAAGCGUUGUUCGGAAUUACUGGGCGUAAAGGGUGCGUAGGCGGGUCUUUAAGUCAGGGGUGAAAUCCUGGAGCUCAACUCCAGAACUGCCUUUGAUACUGAGGAUCUUGAGUUCGGGAGAGGUGAGUGGAACUGCGAGUGUAGAGGUGAAAUUCGUAGAUAUUCGCAAGAACACCAGUGGCGAAGGCGGCUCACUGGCCCGAUACUGACGCUGAGGCACGAAAGCUAGGGUAGCGAACGGG
rnacentral:rRNA from 1 species